rnacentral:rRNA from 1 species
UACGUAGGGGGCAAGCGUUGUCCGGAAUUAUUGGGCGUAAAGAGCUCGUAGGCGGUUUGUCGCGUCUGCUGUGAAAACCUAAGGCUCAACCUUGGGCUUGCAGUGGGUACGGGCAGACUAGAGUGCGGUAGGGGGUGACUGGAAUUCCUGGUGUAGCGGUGGAAUGCGCAGAUAUCAGGAGGAACACCGAUGGCGAAGGCAGGUCACUGGGCCGCAACUGACGCU